UGAAUUGUCUAGAGAGACUUGGUGGAGGAGGCCACGGCCCGCCUUGUCCCUGCCGGGUCCCGGCCAGGUGUGUGUGUGCCCCAGCUCGACUCUCGGUGGUCUCCAGGCUGCAGCAGAAGGAAUACCUUGGAAUUGGAUGCCGGCUGGCCCCCCUGAUGGUUCCUGGCCUAGGGGCUGUCAUGGCAGAGGGAAGCCACCAAGGGCCCUGUGCUAAUCACGAGUCUUUCCUGUUCGGAGCAGUGAGGCCUGAGACCCUCAACAGUGCUGUGUGUACAGAAGGCCCCCAGAAUCCACACAAAGGGGCCGCCUGAAACCUAGAGCAUUUGUGAAGGAGGAAAAUGGAAGGAACAACUGGAUGUUGUAAAUGUUUCUCAUCUGGCCUUAAAAUCCAUGAAAGCUGGAAAAUCACAAGGCAUCUGUGCAUAUACUGGUGGAUUUUAAUGAGAGUCCUGUGUUUGGAGCACCAGAAAUAAACCAGCUUCAGAAGCAAAGUUAACAGGAGGAGGAAGCAGAGCUAGAGAUGGAAGGAGACCCAGCCAGCCCGGGCUCCAGUGACAUCGGCUGGUACACGCUUUUGUUUGCUUACGCUUGUUGAACUGAGUUUUUCAUAUGUAACUAACGAAUACUGGCACAUGUGAGACUGGGCAUGAUUCAGAAAAGUUGGAAGAUCUAGAGAGGGAUCUUGCAAUCUGAAGUUUCUUGUUUAGUCACUGGAGGAUCUGAACGUCUAUGACACUCUUUCGAGCUGACACAGUGAAGAACAUA
rnacentral:lncRNA from 1 species